rnacentral:rRNA from 1 species
UACAGAGGGUGCGAGCGUUAAUCGGAAUUACUGGGCGUAAAGCGCGCGUAGGCGGUUUUGUAAGUCGGGUGUGAAAUCCCCAAGCUUAACUUGGGAACUGCAUUCGAGACUGCAUAGCUAGAGUAUGGGAGAGGGAAGUGGAAUUUCAGGUGUAGCGGUGAAAUGCGCAGAUAUCAGGAGGAGCGCCGGUGGCGAAGGCGGUUCUCUGGGCAUGACCUGACGCUGAGGAGCGAAAGUGUGGGGAGCGAACAGG